ensembl:snRNA U2 U2 spliceosomal RNA
AUCGCUUCUUGGCCUUUUGGCUAAGAUCAAGUGUAGUAUCUGUUCUUAUCAGUUUAAUAUUUACAGUUUAGAAACAAAUUUUCAUAAUUUGACUCAAUUUAAUUAUCCAAU